GUGACUUGUUUUCAACAAUCUCCCCGUACUGUUACAUGAAUUGGGUUUAGUCUCGAUGAGAUAAUGAAUAGGGAAUUCUUUCGGGAGUUCACGUCUUAUGAGAUCACCUGAGCGCAAGCUCUGACAAUUGUAGUAAUAGUUGGCGGGUCAAACCUAUUUCUUCUAUCAUCCUCUCCUUUCAUGAGGGCGAUAGUUGAAAGCAAACAAACAAACUUAUUUCACCCCCUUUUUGCUAGUUGACUUUUAUAUGUUGUUUCUUUUGCGACUUCACUGUUGCGACUGAUUCACACGUUUAUUACUUGAACGUCAAAAUUACAACUCUUAGCAAUGGAUAUCUUGGUUCUCGCAACGAUGAAGAACGCAGCGAAAUGCGAUACGUAAUGCGAAUUGCAGAAUUCAGUGAAUCAUCAAAUCUUUGAACGCAAAUUGCGCUCUUGGGUAGCCCUAGGAGCACGCCUCUCUCAGUAUCGGUUCAACAACCUCUCAGCAGCGUACAUGAAUUUAUUUUUGUGCUAUCGUGUUGGCUGGAUAAUGAGAGUCUGAGCUUCACAGUUCAGUCUCUUGAAAUACAUCGAGUGAGCAUCAUAUUCAUACAUGUCGGCGCAAGUCGAAGCCGGUCUCUGACUGGUUGUAUGGGAGUGACGUGAAUACUGACCCUCUGUGGUCUACUCAUUUACGUGUAACUUUCGUGCAGCUACUUAAAAGUCUAAGUCUCGGUGUGUGUGAAGAGGUGUCUCAUGUGAAGCGGCUGCAUAAGCUGCAAUCGGCUUUCUAUAUAAAAGCAAUUUUAUUGUGAUUGCCUGAAUUUUGAUCUGAGAUG
rnacentral:rRNA from 1 species